rnacentral:rRNA from 1 species
CUCAACCUACGGGGGGCAGCAGUGGGGAAUAUUGCACAAUGGGGGAAACCCUGAUGCAGCGACGCCGCGUGAGUGAAGAAGUAUUUCGGUAUGUAAAGCUCUAUCAGCAGGGAAGAUAAUGACGGUACCUGACUAAGAAGCCCCGGCUAACUACGUGCCAGCAGCCGCGGUAAUACGUAGGGGGCAAGCGUUAUCCGGAUUUACUGGGUGUAAAGGGUGCGUAGGUGGCAGGGCAAGUCAGAUGUGAAAGCCUUCGGCUUAACCGGAGUAGUGCAUUGGAAACUGGGAGACUUGAGUGCAGAAGA